GUGACAAUAGCUAAUGUAAGCUUUAACUAAAAAUGUCAACUCCAUUUGUUUUCAGCUUUAAAGAGUUUCUGGAUCAGAAUGUGCAGCUGCCUGGCUUCAUUACAUUUGUUUGUCUUUGCCUCUCCAACUGAGCAGUGGGAUCUGAUUUUCCUGAAUUUGGCUGAAGAGACAAAUUAAAGUCUUCUUUGUUUAUAAUCAAAGCAGGAGUGAUUAU
rnacentral:lncRNA from 1 species